rnacentral:misc_RNA from 1 species
CCUAUGUCAACCAAAUUGUUCCAUCAUAGUACUACUAGCAAUUCGACGGAAGCCUUGUGCAUUUUGCAGACUGGGAGACGAGUUCUAUGGUUUCAUCUGAUAUUCAGAUUGUUCAGUACUACUUCUACUACGAAUUCGGUUGCUCUCCAGUCGCCCCCACCGAAAAGCAAUGAAACCUGUGAGGCAGUAGACAUCAUGCGGGGCACAUACAGGCAUGCCUGUCACAUUCUCACUUCAGCUUCCCCAACGGCUGUGCACAGUGAUGCAGUUACAGGUCUUCCAUUGCUAGCAGCACCGAUUGCUAGCCACCGGUUGUGCAGGAUAAUCAGCAGCCAUGAUG